UGCCCAAAUAGUAUAGUAGUUAGUACAUGGCCCUGUCGCGGCUAGGACCCGGGUGCGAUUCCCGGUUUGGGCGU
rnacentral:tRNA from 1 species